AAUGUUAAAGUUCUUAUUUCAUGGUAUAACUUUGGUAUGCUUGGACCUAGAGUCUUCAAACUUGACAUGAAGGUUGGCCAGGAUUAACAGAUGACCACUGGUCAUUUCAAGGUCAUUCAUUUGAAGGUCAAGGUCACUGUGACCUUCAAUAUAAAAAAUGUUAAAGUUGUUAUAACUUUGGUAUGCUUGGACCUAGAGUCUUGAAACUUGACAUGAAGGUUGGCCAUAACUAGUUAGUAACCACUGGUCAUUUCAAGGUCAUUCAUUUGAAGGUCCAGGUCACUGUGACCUUGGAUGUAAAUAUGUUAAAGUUGUUAAUACUUUGGUAUGCUUAGACCUAGAGUCUUCAAACUUGAUAUGAAGGUUGGCCAGAACUAGUAGAUGACCACUGGUCAUUUUAAGGUCAAGGUCACCGUGACCUUGAAUGUAAAAAUGUUAAAA